AGAGACAGCAGUAGCCGCGGGAAUACGUAGGUCCCGAGCGUUAUCCGGAUUUAUUGGGCGUAAAGCGAGCGCAGGCGGUUAGAUAAGUCUGAAGUUAAAGGCUGUGGCUUAACCAUAGUACGCUUUGGAAACUGUUUAACUUGAGUGCAGAAGGGGAGAGUGGAAUUCCAUGUGUAGCGGUGAAAUGCGUAGGUAUAUGGAGGAACACCGGUGGCGAAAGCGGCUCUCUGGUCUGUAACUGACGCUGAGGCUCGAAAGCGUGGGGAGCAAACAGGAUUAGAUACCCGCGUAGUCCCUGUCUCUUAUACA
rnacentral:rRNA from 1 species